GUAACAAUGGAGACGAGGUGAGGUGAGGUGAGGAGUCGUAUCUAACCAUUCAAAUGAUUCGACAUGUGAUGGCUCUAUAUCCUCCAAACUUCAAUGGUGAAAUUGCCAAGAUACUCUUGAAGUUUACUUUUCUUGGUCUGAUCAUCUACUGAGAUGGCAUAGGAACAUGUCAACCAUCAUCUUCUGUUCCAUGUUGACUCCGGCGUCACUUGCCCAGGAGACACUCCUCCAUCAAAAGCUACUCUCGUGUCAGACAUCAACCAUGAUCGGACAGAGUAGUAAAGCACAUCCCAUCCAUCGGGCAAGAAGGUUCAAAGGUUUUUCCUACCUGCACUCUGUUCCAUAAAAUUAGCUUCACAUUACGCACACCACGUCUUCUGUGACAUCAUUCGAAGACAAAAACAUAAGGACAAUGUCACCAUCACAUUAAAUCACAAGGCGACACCUCAGAGGAUGAAUGAAUUGGAGAGGGCUGAUGGGAGUUGCCCACCAACAGCACAGGUAGCACUGAAUUGGAAAUUCCCUGCAAUUCACUGGUGACAAUCUACAUUUCAACUUCAGCAGCAUGCAUCAUAAACCCUGCCAGUGGGCAUCCAAGCAGCAUGGCUCCUCUUCUUCUUCUUCUUCUUCUUCAGUCUGGACAGUGGUCAGUGACAAUUAGAUGCAUCUGAUAGCAACAGCAUGGAGGUGUCAGUAUGAAGCUCACAGAGAGAAGUCUGUCUAGAUGGGUACAAGUGGUGACACUGCUUGUAACAGAGAGCAAGCUGAGCAUAUGUUUAGUCUUCAAAUGUUGUGUGUCAAAGAUCUGAGUCAUGUCACCUGUAACUAUGAAUAAGAACAAGAGGUUAAAUUAAUCCA